rnacentral:rRNA from 1 species
GCCUACAUGAAGCUGGAGUUGCUAGUAAUCGCGAAUCAGCAUGUCGCGGUGAAUACGUUCCCGGGCCUUGUACACACCGCCCGUCACACCAUGAGAGUUGGCAAUACCCAACGUACGUGAUCUAACCCGCAAGGGAGGAAGCGUUCUAAGGUAGGGUCAGCGAUUGGGGUGAAGUCGUAACAAGGUAUC